UCUGAUAGGAAAGGGGUAGGUAGGUAGUUCCCUGUCUGGCCAAUACAUAUAUGUACUAUUUUUGUUUCUAAAAAGAAAGUCCGUAAACCUUCUGCUUCUUUAACGAUCAAUCAAUCUACAAUGCACAAAUUAUGUCAUCAGCAUCGGUAGGUUAGUUGGAAAAAUAAAGCGGUUUACUUUUCGAAAUUGUUGAACCUACUUUGUGAAGCAGCACGAUACAUGUUACAGUUCUCUUGGCGAUAUAUUGAAGACCUGUUGAUAAAAAGACCUGUUGAUACGCCGUAAAUAUUUCAAUUCGGCAUAUGUCAACUGCCUACAUUUUGACAACAAAAGUGUAUUUUUCGAUUGAAUCUAGAAGUCCUUACAAUUGUGCGUUGGGCAAGAUGUCGCAUAAAAAGCCCCAUAAAUUUCCGUGAUUCUUCAAGUACUCAAAUUUUCCCUUGAAGAAUCAAUUCGGAAUUGAUCUUUCGCUACGCAGAUUGCAGACAUAUUUUGGUUAUUGGUUAAGAUAAAGAAUGACUUGCUAUCUUACCCAAACGUACUUUCGCCAAGUAACAAAAUAUCCAUGACACAUGCCACAUGCCACAUGCCACCGAGCUAAACCCAAGCAAUUUCAAAAUCUUAAAAAUAAUUCAUUUUUGAAGCUAAUAACCCUCCUUGGAAAUUUGGUGCCCACCCACCUUGGCGCUUGUCCCGCGAUCACAUUGAGAGACCUUGCCUUGGCUUGGAUGUCCGAGAAGAACUAGCACAAUUCCGAAUACAGAAUAUAUCCAGAAUUGAGUAUACACAUGUAUUCAACAAUAGAUAUUGAAUGUAUUGUUUAAAUGGUUUAAAUGAUAUUACGGUACAGAGAUGUACUAGGCUAUGGGCUCUGAUAUUUGCGCUACAAACUUCUCCUCAGCUUUAUUAUAUCUCCUGCAAGGAGCUAUUAAAGAAAGCUAUUAAAAUCGUUGUUUCGGAUUCAUGUAUGGAAAUGUCCAUGGAAGGAUUCAGCGAGACCAGAAAACUCAAAGUCGAAUACUUUUGUCCCAAUAUUGUUUAAUAAAUCUGGUGGAACAAAACCAAUUCUGUCAAUAGACACAUCAUUUCACUGACUUCUAUGUUAAAACUAUUCAAAUCACCUAAAGUUAAAUUUGUCGGUAUUUUUCAGUAGUUUAUAGUUAUAUUAUAAGUGAUAACAGUGAAGGAAAACAUGACUAUAAAAUUACCGAAAAAGUUAACUUUCGCCUUUUGUGUAAAAGUUAAAAAAGUUGAAGUCAAAAAGGUUACAUCACAGUUAAUGAAAUUAUAUGCCAAUUCGUGAAGUUUUCAAUAAAUUUGGAUGAUAAUAUCGGGGCAAAAGUA
rnacentral:sRNA from 1 species